rnacentral:rRNA from 1 species
AAGCUCGUAGUUGAAUUUCGGGGUCAGUAGGUUGGUCGUGCCACUGGUAUGUACUGGUCUCACUGAUUCCUCCUUCCUGAUGAGCUGUAAUGCCAUUAAUUUGGUGUUGCAGGGAAUCUGGACUGUUACUUUGAAAAAAUUAGAGUGUUUAAAGCAGGCUAACGCUUGAAUACAUUAGCAUGGAAUAAUGAAAUAGGACGUUCGAUCCUAUUUGUUGGUUUCUAGGAUUGACGUAAUGAUUAAUAGGGAUAGUUGGG